CUCACAUCUCAGCCUUCUGAGCUGCUAGGAUGACAGGUAUGAAACACACCUAGGUAAGAUAAAAUUCAUACUGUGGCAAUUAUAAUAUUUUCUUUUCAGUGGAAAAAAAAGAGACUAAAUGGUAUUCAUAUUCAGGAAUUACAGUAACAAUCCUCAAGCAUAUUAGUAAACUUGUACAAAUUGUUAGCUUUAGAUUUUAAUUUAAAAAAUCACAAAUUCACUAAGACAUAAUGAGAAAUUUGAAUUUUAUAUUUUAAAAUAUGUGGCUUCUUCCUGCAUCAAAUGCAUAUAAGGAAUGAAUUCUCUAUGAGGCUUUUAUAUGAUCUAAAAACAGUAACAAGAAUAAAAUGAGCUUAAUAAUUUCUGAUCACAAAAAAAUCCUCUAUUCUCUUAAAAACUACAGGAUUUGGGCUGGGAAUAUGGCCCAGUGGCAAGAGUGCUUGCCUCGUAUACAUGA